GUUUCAGCCGCCGCGGUAAUACGUAGGGGGCCAGCGUUGUCCGGAUUCAUUGGGCGUAAAGCGCGUGUAGGCGGCCGUACAGGUCCGGUGUGAAAACUCGAGGCUCAACCUCGAGAGGUCAUCGGAAACCGUACGGCUAGAGUCCGGAAGAGGAGAGUGGAAUUCCUGGUGUAGCGGUGAAAUGCGCAGAUAUCAGGAAGAACACCCAUGGCGAAGGCAGCUCUCUGGGACGGUACUGACGCUGAGACGCGAAAGCGUGGGGAGCGAACAGGAUUAGAUACCCUCGUAGUCC
rnacentral:rRNA from 1 species